AUGACAAUAGAAAGGGAAGAGGUGCGACGAAGGCUGGGCGUCACCGUCGGCGGCGGCGUGAGACGGUGUCGAUUGUUUGCAGAUUUUCUUGUCACUAUUGUUCACUCUCUCUUUGAUAUCUGCUCUGCUAUUGUAUUGUUAUGUUGCUUUAAACCUGUAAAUUAUUAUACAGUUUUGGCUUGGUGA